AGAACGAACGCUGGCGGCGUGGAUAAGACAUGCAAGUCGAACGCGAUUUAUCAGGUUAGCAAUAACUUGGUAAAUUGAGUGGCGAAAGGGUGCGUAACACGUGGGAAUUUACCAAAAAGUGGGGAAUAGCUCGGCGAAAGCCGAAUUAAUACCGCAUGUGAUCGAAAGAUCAAAGUCGGGGACCGCAAGGCCUGACGCUUUUUGAGAAGCCCGCGGCCCAUCAGCUAGUUGGCGGGGUAAAAGCCCACCAAGGCUAUGACGGGUAGCUGGUCUGAGAGGACGACCAGCCACACUGGAACUGAGACACGGUCCAGACACCUACGGUGGCAGCAGUCGAGAAUUUUUCACAAUGGACGAAAGUCUGAUGGAGCGACGCCGCGUGGAGGAUGAAGGUUCUUGGAUUGUAAACUCCUGUCACUGCAGAACAAGGCAGUGCGUAUGAAUAGUGCGCACUGUUGAUGGUAUGCGGAGAGGAAGGGACGGCGUAACUC
rnacentral:rRNA from 1 species